UACGUAGGGUCCGAGCGUUGUCCGGAAUUAUUGGGCGUAAAGGGCUCGUAGGCGGUUUGUCGCGUCGGGAGUGAAAACCAGAGGCUUAACUUCUGGCUUGCUUUCGAUACGGGCAGACUGGAGGUAUGCAGGGGAGAACGGAAUUCCUGGUGUAGCGGUGAAAUGCGCAGAUAUCAGGAGGAACACCGGUGGCGAAGGCGGUUCUCUGGGCAUGUCCUGACGCUGAGGAGCGAAAGUGUGGGGAGCGAACAGG
rnacentral:rRNA from 1 species